rnacentral:rRNA from 1 species
CAGCCGCCACGGUAAUACGAAGGGGGCUAGCGUUGUUCGGAUUUACUGGGCGUAAAGCGCACGUAGGCGGUCUGUCAAGUCAGAUGUGAAAUCCCCGGGCUUAACCUGGGAACUGCAUUUGAAACUGGCAGGCUAGAGUCUUGUAGAGGGGGGUAGAAUUCCAGGUGUAGCGGUGAAAUGCGUAGAGAUCUGGAGGAAUACCGGUGGCGAAGGCGGCCCCCUGGACAAAGACUGACGCUCAGGUGCGAAAGCGUGGGGAGCAAACAGGAUUAGAUACCCGCGUAGUCCCUGUCUCUUAUAC